GCACAGAUAGCUCAGCAGGAAGAGCACCGGUCUCCAAAACCGGGUGUCGGUGGUUCGAUCCCAUCUCUGUGUG
rnacentral:tRNA from 1 species